ensembl:lncRNA
AAGAAGUGGGGAGCAGCAGACAGACAACAGUCUCGGAGGAAAGUGGGGAUCGUACUGUCAGCAGUUUCAUAUUAGAUUGGAUCUCGCAGCGCUUAACUCCUGUUGUUUUGUAUUAACUGAGUAUCUUAAAAACCUUGCUUCUCUUUGCCUGCAGCAGUUGUCACGGUUACACUGAUGUGUAGUCCAGACCUUUCCCCAACUGAGAAGAUUUUAGGCACAAAACCAAAAACAGGACACGGAAGACCCAGGACUGCUGAGCAGCUAGGAUCCUCCAUCACACAGGAACGGGACAGCAUUGCUCCGCUAAAAGUCCAGCAGCUGCUCUCUGGAGUUCCCAGACUGUUGCUAAAAGAAGAGGCGAUGCUACAUGAUGGGAAACACGCCCCUGACCCAACUCUGUUGGGACAUGUUGUUAUCAACAGAUUCAAAAUUACACUUUUGCAGUUUAAGCACUGAAUGUUUGGAAUGCUUUCUAGCUUAUAUUGUACAUAAAAUAUGGGUUUAUGGGGUUUACAAAGGACAUCAUCCUGCUGUUGUUUACAUUUACACAGAGCAUCCCAACAGCUCUGGAGCUGGGGUUGUAUUUGCUAACAGCACUUCACUGACGGGUUGUUACUAUAUUUGAUAUUUGUAAAGGAUGAUAGCUCUACACACACACACACACACACACACACACACACACACACACACACACACACACACACACACACACACACACAGUGUUGUUGCUAAUAUUAUGUUGUGAAGUUAGUAAAUGCAGUGUCAGACAGCCUCUGACUAUCAUUUAAAAUGAUAUUGAUUGUAAUUAGUUUCUUCAUUGCUCAUUCAUUUAUUUAUAUUUUGAAUAAACUAUGCAGUGUUACGUGCAGGCUGUGUGCAGGCAGGAGUGGUAGUAGGAGGACCCAAUGUGCAGACACUCGGAAGCGGAACGUGAACUCAAAAGGGUAACAAAACUAAGACUCCAAGGAAAACUUACACAAAGAGACCACACAGCAAGAUAAGGGUAGAUCAUGACACCGACAAACUGAAACACAGGGCUUAAAUACACAGAGGGAGCAAUCAGGGAAUGGUUAACAGGAGGGAAACACAGCUGGGGCAAAUCAGGCCCGACGAGACAAAGGAAGCACAACCAGAUGCAUUUACAUGACAGACGGACUUUCAAAGUAAAACAGGAAACAUAACACAGAUUGAAUUUACAGACACAGACUCACAGGCAGGCACUACAGAGGGAACAGAGACGUGGGACCAGGGCAGACACAGACACGGAGAUAUAGCCGAGAGGGGAGACAGCAACUAAGGAUUACACAGAGACAUAAACCAUAAGACAGAACAACUAACAAAGAAACCAAAGACUAGAAAUGAUAAAUAAUAUAAUGAACAGAGAUGGGCGUUACUGUAAUUCGAUUACUUUUUUCAAGUAACGAGUAAAGUAAGGGAUUACUAUUGCAAAAACGGUAAUUAGAUUACGGUUACUUUACUUUCCCGUAGGAACGCUGCGUUACUGCGUUACUAAAACCGUGAUUCUUUGCGAGAAUGUCUCACGACAGUGACGUGUGAAGUUCGUGACAACAGCUGUGUGCAGAUCAACAGUGGAUCAUAUAUCGAUUGUGGGAGAGAGUAUGAGCGUGCAGCGUUUAAAGCGUGGAAGUACUGACCUUACUUUGAGUUUGAUUCCAUAAAAAGUGACAAAAACAUUAGCGUCCGUUGUGCGUGAGAAGAAAACUUCUUUUUACAGCGAAAAAAACCCUAAACUUCCAAGCAAGCACCGAGUAGCUACGACGUGAUGGGAAACUCACAGAGAAACUCGCGGAUUCUUCAACUGACCGCUGCGGCACACCUGCACCAGGGUAAACCUCCGCCUACCCCACUCCUCCUCUUUGAUUUUAUUUAUUUUCUGCUGUGUUUUACUUGCAUCUAUUUGAAAGACUGAGUGUAAACACACACAAAAAAAUAUUUUAUGUGCUGGAAUGUGCAGAAAAUAGGUUUAAAUGUUAAACUAAUUUAUUCAAGUCAGAGAAUGUUGCAUAUAAUUUAAUGUUUGCUUGAUGCAUUAAGUUAAAAGAUUAAAACUAAUAAAACAAG